rnacentral:rRNA from 1 species
UACGAAGGGGGUUAGCGGUGGUUGGAAUCACUGGGCGUAAAGCGCACGUAGGCGGAUUGUUAAGUCAGGGGUGAAAUCCCGAGGCUCAACCUCGGAACUGCCUUUGAUACUGGCGAUCUAGAGUCCGGGAGAGGUGAGUGGAACUGCGAGUGUAGAGGUGAAAUUCGUAGAUAUUCGCAAGAACACCAGUGGCGAAGGCGGCUCACUGGCCCGGAACUGACGCUGAGGUGCGAAAGCGUGGGGAGCAAACAGG